ensembl:ncRNA lncRNA:CR44369 long non-coding RNA:CR44369
CAGAAGGAAAAAAGCAAGGAAAAAUCGUUGCCUAACCCCAGGCGUUGGCCUUAAUGACUCAACUGCGUGUGCAAAACUGAUGAUGCUGUUUGCCUUUGUCAACUUGUUUGAUUAAAAAAGGAAAUAAGGGAACCGAGGACUCAUUAACCGUGGCUGACGUCAUAACUGCCACGCCCCCAAAUGUUUGAGCACACUGUGAUUCGACGGUGAUUAUUUGCAUGCUGUGCACUGCCGAGCAAACAAUUGGCCAACACAAAAAAAAAAGGGCGGCAAGUGUUGGCCGGGAAACGGAGCGUUAUUGCCACACAAUCUCAGCGUGCAAAUAUUUGAACUGUAUAAAAAAGCGCACACACACAAAAUUAAAUUCCCCAAACGGCGACCUAAAAAGGGGCGGGGCAGAACAAGCUAUUGAUUUCAUUGAAAACACAACCCCUAAAUCUGCAGCAAGGAUUUUUUACAAUAGAAACUGAAACGGAAUCGCGGUUUUACAUAUUUCUGUUUAAGAAGA